rnacentral:rRNA from 1 species
GUGUCAGCAGCCGCGGUAAUACGUAGGGUGCGAGCGUUAAUCGGAAUUACUGGGCGUAAAGGGUGCGCAGGCGGUUCUGUAAGACCGGUGUGAAAUCCCCGGGCUCAACCUGGGAAUUGCGCUGGUGACUGCAGGGCUAGAGUACGGUAGAGGGGGGUGGAAUUCCUGGUGUAGCAGUGAAAUGCGUAGAGAUCAGGAGGAACACCGAUGGCGAAGGCAGCCCCCUGGGCCUGUACUGACGCUCAUGCACGAAAGCGUGGGGAGCAAACAGGAUUAGAUACCCUGGUAGUCCACGCCCUAAACGAUGAGAACUAGCCGUCUGGAGUCUUCGUGCUCUGGGUGGCGCAGCUAACGCGUGAAGUUCUCCGCCUGGGGAGUACGGCCGCAAGGUUAAA